rnacentral:rRNA from 1 species
ACUCAAAGGAAUUGACGGGGACCCGCACAAGCAGCGGAGCAUGUGGUUUAAUUCGAAGAUACGCGAAAAACCUUACCAAGACUUGACAUCCUUUGCAUAACCCCGAAAUGGGUGAAAUGAUAGCAAUAUCACAAAGUGACAGAUGGUGCAUGGUUGUCGUCAGCUCGUGUCGUGAGAUGUUCGGUUAAGUCCGAUAACGAGCGCAACCCUUGUCGUCAGUUGCCAGCAUUAAGUUGGGCACUCUGGCGAGACUGCCGUGGUAACACGGAGGAAGGUGGGGAUGACGUCAAAUCAUCAUGCCUCUUACGUCUUGGGCUACACACGUGCUACAAUGGUCGUGACAAAGAGCUGCAAGCCAGCAAUGGUAAGCCAAUCUCAAAAAAACGAUCUCAAUUCGGAUUGUGGGCUGAAACUCGCCCACAUGAAGUUGGAGUUGCUAGUAAUCCCGAAUCAGCAUGUCGGGGUGAAUGCGUUCCCGGGUCUUGUACACACCGCCCGU